GACGAACGCUGGCGGCGUGCUUAACACAUGCAAGUCGAACGCUGAAGCUCAGCUUGCUGGGUGGAUGAGUGGCGAACGGGUGAGUAACACGUGAGUAACCUGCCCUCUUCUUUGGGAUAACGCCCGGAAACGGGUGCUAAUACUGGAUAUUCACUGAUCUUCGCAUGGGGGUUGGUGGAAAGGUUUUUUCUGGUGGGGGAUGGGCUCGCGGCCUAUCAGCUUGUUGGUGGGGUGAUGGCCUACCAAGGCUUUGACGGGUAGCCGGCCUGAGAGGGUGACCGGUCACAUUGGGACUGAGAUACGGCCCAGACUCCUACGGGAGGCAGCAGUGGGGAAUAUUGCACAAUGGGCGAAAGCCUGAUGCAGCGACGCCGCGUGAGGGAUGGAGGCCUUCGGGUUGUAAACCUCUUUCGCUCAUGGUCAAGCCGCAACGCAUGGUUGUGGUGAGGGUAGUGGGUAAAGAAGCGCCGGCUAACUACGUGCCAGCAGCCGCGGUAAUACGUAGGGCGCGAGCGUUGUCCGGAAUUAUUGGGCGUAAAGGGCUUGUAGGCGGUUGGUCGCGUCUGCCGUGAAAUCCUCUGGCUUAACUGGGGGCGUGCGGUGGGUACGGGCUGACUUGAGUGCGGUAGGGGAGACUGGAACUCCUGGUGUAGCGGUGGAAUGCGCAGAUAUCAGGAAGAACACCGGUGGCGAAGGCGGGUCUCUGGGCCGUUACUGACGCUGAGGAGCGAAGGCGUGGGGAGCGGACAGG
rnacentral:rRNA from 1 species